rnacentral:rRNA from 1 species
CAGCCGCCACGGUAAUACGGAGGGAGCUAGCGUUAUUCGGAAUUACUGGGCGUAAAGCGCACGUAGGCGGCUUUGUAAGUUAGAGGUGAAAGCCUGGAGCUCAACUCCAGAAUUGCCUUUAAGACUGCAUCGCUUGAAUCCAGGAGAGGUGAGUGGAAUUCCGAGUGUAGAGGUGAAAUUCGUAGAUAUUCGGAAGAACACCAGUGGCGAAGGCGGCUCACUGGACUGGUAUUGACGCUGAGGCACGAAAGCGUGGGGAGCAAACAGGAUUAGAGACCCCUGUAGUCCCUGUCUCUUAUAA